ACAAAAUUCGGACCCACGGUCUACCGAGCAAAACCCGCUCAGGGGAAGAUCUUCCCUUUGUCGU
rnacentral:pre_miRNA from 1 species